rnacentral:rRNA from 1 species
UACGAAGGGGGCUAGCGUUGCUCGGAAUCACUGGGCGUAAAGGGUGCGUAGGCGGGUCUUUAAGUCAGGGGUGAAAUCUUGGAGCUCAACUCCAGAACUGCCUUUGAUACUGAGGAUCUUGAGUUCGGGAGAGGUGAGUGGAACUGCGAGUGUAGAGGUGAAAUUCGUAGGUAUUCGGAAGAACACCAGUGGCGAAGGCGGCCAUCUGGACCGCAACUGACGCUGAGGCGCGAAAGCGUGGGGAGCAAACAGG